rnacentral:rRNA from 1 species
UACGAAGGUCCCAAGCGUUAUCCGGAUUUAUUGGGUUUAAAGGGUGCGUAGGCGGUCUAUUAAGUCAGUGGUGAAAGCCCCAGCUCAACUUGGGAACUGCCAUUGAUACUGAUGGACUUGAGUACAUUUGAGGUGGGCGGAAUGUGUCAUGUAGCGGUGAAAUGCUUAGAUAUGACACAGAACACCGAUUGCGAAGGCAGCUCACUAAACUGUAAACUGACGCUGAGGCACGAAAGCGUGGGGAUCAAAACAGG